UACGUAGGGACCAAGCGUUGUUCGGAUUUACUGGGCGUAAAGGGCGCGUAGGCGGCGUGUUAAGUCAGCUGUGAAAUCUCCGAGCUUAACUCGGAACGGUCAGCUGAUACUGAUGUGCUAGAGUGCAGAAGGGGCAAUCGGAAUUCUUGGUGUAGCGGUGAAAUGCGUAGAUAUCAAGAGGAACACCUGAGGUGAAGACGGGUUGCUGGGCUGACACUGACGCUGAGGCGCGAAAGCCAGGGGAGCAAACAGG
rnacentral:rRNA from 1 species